rnacentral:rRNA from 1 species
GUAGUCCACGCCGUAAACGAUGUCUACUAGCCGUUAGGUGACUUGAUUGCCUAGUGGCGCAGCUAACGCACUAAGUAGACCGCCUGGGGAGUACGGCCGCAAGGUUAAAACUCAAAUGAAUUGACGGGGGCCCGCACAAGCGGUGGAGCAUGUGGUUUAAUUCGAUGCAACGCGAAGAACCUUACCAGGCCUUGACAUCCCCGGGACUUUCCAGAGAUGGAUUGGUGCCUUCGGGAACCGGGUGACAGGUGCUGCAUGGCUGUCGUCAGCUCGUGUCGUGAGAUGUUGGGUUAAGUCCCGUAACGAGCGCAACCCUUGUCCUUAGUUGCCAGCACUUUGGGUGGGAACUCUAGGGAGACUGCCGGUGACAAACCGGA